CCCGCCUCAAUUUGAAAUGCCGGACGCAGUUUGUAAAUGUGUGGCCAAAAAUUUGAAAUGCCCGCCUCAAUGAUCAUCUUGCCAAAUAGUUGCGUUUGGCGAGAGAGAGCCGAAAGGUAGAGAAAUAAUCUGGAGGUGGAGGUUUUGGUUGAAUGACAUAGAAGUUAUAUGCCAGUGGAAGACGUUGAGCUUGUUGUAGCUCAUGGCCCUGAUGAUCCUCAGAAUUUCUUUCGCAGAACAAAAGUUCCUGCUCGUGUCUAGCGAAAUUCCUCUGUGAGGGAAUACCAGAUAGUCCAUGAUCGUCAAAGGGCCGGGGAUGAGGAGAGGGUAAUAGGAAGUGGCGUUGUGGGCACGGAUUAGAUAUGAGAAUGUCUCCCCAAAUGGCUCCCCAUGCUGUUUGCGAUGAUAAUGUAGCGGGAGUUCCGUCAGAUGGAACAGUGAGAUUGCAUGACUCAUCUACGCCAUGCUGCAGGUCAAAGUUGAGAUCGCGGACCAACAUAUUGAGCUAUUUUAACGAUGUGGAAGAAACGGGCAUGGAUUGUGUAGCGUCGAAUGAGUGGAUGGGAUACCAAGGGCUUUUCCAGAUGAUGGUUUUGAUGGUUUUGUAGCAGGAGACUACGUUUGCAAGGCUUGUAUGAUUGGGAAACAAGAUUUGAAACGUCGAAGACAAUGGAUCUUCUCUCGACAGAAUGAUUUGCCUGAACUUAGUUCUAUAUCAAAUUUGAUCUUUCAAGAUGAGCUUUGGCCAUACGUAGAUAUACGAGAGAGGAUAGUGGAGUAGAGCAGCAAUUGGAACAAAAUUAAGAGUCGCCUUUAGGAUGCCAAAGUAUGCAAAAACUUCACCAAUGAUUCAGUCAACCAAGUUGCAGAGCAGUUCUACAAAAAGAAUUUAUCCCCAAUUCAGUUCGGUUGUUGCAAGCCUCCAACGUCAUGCGACUUUGUCUAUGUGAAUGCCACUUAUUGGACUUACCAUCGACCCACCAUAAAUGCCUUCCACUGACACAUAAAUCACUGUUGUAAACGGCUGGUUAGUUUCCCAUAUAUACAGAUCGAACAUUAAUGGUGGGUCUCUAUAUAAGAUUUUCUUGUCUAAAAUGUCUAUACUAGAUCAUAACUUCUUUAAUAAUUGUUAUAGUUUAGACUAAAGUAAUUGUUUUAAACACAUAUUCAGAAACAUUAUGGAUCUCUUAAACGAACCCUUACAUGGGCUUGGGCUCUAUCUAUAUGUAAAUAUUUUAGAGUUCUUUAUUCUAUUCCAAGGGAGAAGGUCUGCAUUGAAAAGAAAAGAAGGGUUAUUUGAGCGAGUUGAAAAUGGAGGGCAGUCCCAGACUGAAAGUAGGAAGUAGUGCAAAGCAAGUGGAAUGUCAUGAUGAGUUGAUCACUGAAAUACUUUUGAGGGUUUCAACCAGAGAUGUGUUGAAGAUGUCCACAGUGCAUAAGAGAUGGCGCACGCUCAUUUUUGACCCAUCAUUUGCACAUACCCAUUACAAGAAUUCUCACCUAGAAUCGAUAUUUUAUGUCAUUCAUAGACCAACUAGACAAUGGUUGACAGAAAGUUCUGUAGCCCCUAUUCUAGAGCGACUUUCAUUAUUUUUUACUAUUGUGAAAUACAAGAUUGUUUCGAAUAUUAUCGUGUUAU